AGUCGAGUCCCGCCGGCCCCCGCGCGAAGAUGGGAGCCGGCCCGGUGUUUCACGCCAGCGCGUGGCCUCCGCCAGGGUGUCAGGCAGAGUGGAAGGAGAGGAGGAGAAGGGAAGUCGGGGACGUCGGUCAUGUCUAGGCGCUGGUGUUCUGGGGUGUCAGGCAGAGUGGAAGGAGAGGAGGAGAAGGGAAGUCGGGGACGUCGGUCAUGUCUAGGCGCUGGUGUUCUGGGGUGUCAGGCAGAGUGGAAGGAGAGGAGGAGAAGGGAAGUCGGGGACGUCGGUCAUGUCUAGGCGCUGGUGUUCUGGGGUGUCAGGCAGAGUGGAAGGAGAGGAGGAGAAGGGAAGUCGGGGACGUCGGUCAUGUCUAGGCGCUGGUGUUCUGGGGUGUCAGGCAGAGUGGAAGGAGAGGAGGAGAAGGGAAGUCGGGGACGUCGGUCAUGUCUAGGCGCUGGUGUUCUGGG
rnacentral:lncRNA from 9 species